AUGUGCUUCAAAUUCGCCUUUCCUAGCACCACAUCCUUGGGGUCUGCAGAUAAAAUAGGCAGAGAUUUGUGGAAAAGGAAUAGUAGCUACCCCCUUGACGGUGCUCCAGUACCUUGUACCAGGAGAUGUGAAGGGGCCGAUAUGAAGCCUCCUUUACUCCUGGGGUCUUGCCUGACUCUCGGGGAUGCAGGGAUGAAGCUGCAGAAAGAGAAACAGCAGUGGUGGAGAGGCACACGGUCUCACCGGUAAGGAAGCAUCUCGUUUCUGGUUCUUUUUUCAUUACACAGAAGUUUUCAAGCUUCCCCCAGCUGUAUCUUCAGAAAGCGCCAUAACCGUUUGCAGUUUCUGUGGGGUCUCUCUUCUUCUGCUAGGAUCAUGUAGUGGAAAAUCUGCAGAGGGAAGCUGCUUUGUCUACAGAACAUACAGCAAGCACCUCACUUAGGACGUGAUGACCAAGAACUUUUCCAGAAAACUGGGCCAGCAUUCAGCACACGUUAAAUGAGAUUUGCUACACUCCAGAGCUGGAAAGGACUUGAAGAUUAUUCUUGUCCAACUGUCUCAUUUUAUAUUUCCUCCCUCCUUUUCUUUCUUCCAUCCUUCCCUUUCUUGCUUUUUUUUUUUUUUUUUUUUUUUUUUUUAAGAUAGGGUCUCUCUCGGUCACCCAGGCUGAAGUACAAUGAUGUGAUCUCGGUUCACAGCAACCUCUCCCUCCCAGACUCAAGCGACCCUCCCACCUCAGCCUCUUGAUCACAGACAUGUGCCACAUUUUUGUAUUUUUUGUAGAGAUGGAGUUUCACCAUGUUGCCAAGGCUGGUCUCCAACUCCUGAGCUCAAGUGACCUGCCCACCUCAGCCACCCAAAGUGCUGGAAUUACAGGCAUGAGCCACCACACUUGGCCUUGGAAUCACCUUUCUUUCCUUUUCAUAGCCAUCCAGGAAAGUGAAUAGUGCCGUGAAAAGAAUACUGGCCUUAAGGCCAGGCACCAUGGCUCAUGCCUGUAAUCCUAGCACUUUGGGAGGCCAAGGCAGAUGGAUCAUUUGAGGUCAGGAGUUCAAGACUAGCCUGGCCAACAUGGUGAAACCCCAUCUCUACUAAAAAUACAAAAAGUUAGCUGGGUUUGGUGGCACACACCUGUAAUCCCAGCUACUGAAGAGCCUGAAGCAGGAGAAUUACUUGAACCUGGGAAGUAGAGGUUGCAGUGAGCCGAGAUUGUGCCACGGUACUCCAACCUGGGUGAAAAAGUGAGACCCCAUCUAAAAAAAAAAUACUGGCCUUAGAUGCAGAAACCAGGAGCUCGAGUACUGGCCAUGUGAGUUUAGAUGAGUCACUUGAUCUUUAGUCUUGAUUUCAGUAUCUAUAAAAUAAUGGUAUUAAAACAGAUGAUCAAUGACCGAGGCAAAAAGGGAAAAAUCAAAUUCUAGAAAUGGGCAACACAAUCAUCUCCAUUUUACAGUCAGGGAAACUGAGUAAUGCGGAUUGGCAGAUGAGGUGCUGGGACCAGUCAGUGUAGGUUCUCACAUUGGUCCUGCUACUGAUUGGCCCAGGAACUCAGGCAAAAUACACAUCUUCCAGUCUGGUCUGUCCUGUGUCUUCUCCCAUCAUAGCACAUGGGGAGGGUCUCUGUGCUUCAUCUCUGUGCUUCACUGGAGGUGUUAUAGAAUCCCAGCCACUACUGUUACUUCUCAGGCUACACAGAGCUGGCACCUGGACAGUGGUUCAAAUCUCCUGUUUCUCAGCCAGGUGUUCAUUUCCUUCAGCCUCCCCAUCUGAGAUGGUGCAAUGGCCCAGCAGUCUAGGAUGCAGACC
ensembl:lncRNA